rnacentral:lncRNA from 1 species
UGGGACGUAUCCUUGGUACAAUUCUCCCUCCUACUGAUUGAACUGGAGUCGCUUAUCUCCCUCUACUUGAGACAUCUUCAACAUAGAGGGCGCUGUAGAGCCAGUUUCCUUCAAGCUAUCUUGGAAUCGCCAUUACACUAUCUCAAGAAUCUCAAGUGCAAUAUUGUAUGUUGAUUGCUUCUUGUACUGCUGGAUCAAUUCUUCACAUUUUAAUUAACACUUAGCUCCAGGAACUAAUUGCUUCACAUAGAACAUGAUCUUCAGAAUACUGCUGUUGCUAAACUUAAAGGCUCAAGUGUAGACAAACCCUUCUGAAGUAUGAAGAAAUGUGGCUCAGUUAAGCUGAAAACUUCAGACCUCAUAUGAAUUGUUUAUUGGCUGCCAACAGCAGACUGUCUGCAUGUUAUGGCCUCUGGGACAAUACCUGGUGCUGGAAAACAAGCAGACGUAGCCCGCUUCCCCAGGACACCCACACAGGACCACGGAAUCGUCACGCUCACCACUCUAGUGUAAUACUCACUGGUUUACAGUCAAAAUAUGUCAUAAAAUGUCGCUUCUAAUAUCAGGCCAGAAUAAAUUAGAGCUUCGUCUCUGCCUGCCUCACAUCUAAACACUCCCAAAUACAGAUGAAGAAAUGUUUGAUCAAACUUACCAUAUUGGUAAUCCUACCAAACAUUCAUACGUGAAGAUCCGGGGUAGAAUAGGUCUUCAGCAACCCAUGCUUGCCGUAAAAGGUGACUAUGCUUGUUGUAAGAGGUGACUAACAGGAUCGGGUGGUCAGGCUCAUUGACUUGAUUGAUACAU